GUAGAGCGGCGGACGGGUGAGUAACGCGUGGGAAAUUGCCCAGUAGUGGGGGACAACAUUCGGAAACGGAUGCUAAUACCGCAUACGCCCUACGGGGGAAAGCAGGGGAUCUUCGGACCUUGCGCUAUUGGAUAUGCCCGCGUCGGAUUAGCUAGUUGGUGAGGUAAUGGCUCACCAAGGCAACGAUCCGUAGCUGGUCUGAGAGGAUGAUCAGCCACACUGGGACUGAGACACGGCCCAGACUCCUACGGGAGGCAGCAGUGGGGAAUAUUGGACAAUGGGCGCAAGCCUGAUCCAGCCAUGCCGCGUGUGUGAAGAAGGCCCUAGGGUUGUAAAGCACUUUCAGUAGGGAGGAAGGCCUUAAAGUUAAUACCUUUGAGGAUUGACGUUACCUACA
rnacentral:rRNA from 1 species